rnacentral:rRNA from 1 species
AUACGGAGGGUGCGAGCGUUGUUCGGAAUCACUGGGCGUAAAGGGCGCGCAGGCGGUCUGUCAAGUCAGAUGUGAAAGCCCACGGCUCAACCGUGGACGUGCAUCUGAAACUGGCAGACUCGAGUACCGGAGGGGAAAGUGGAAUUCCCGGUGUAGAGGUGAAAUUCGUAGGUAUCGGGAGGAAUACCGGAGGCGAAGGCGACUUUCUGGACGGAUACUGACGCUGAGGCGCGAAAGCGUGGGGAGCGAACAGGAUUAGAUACCCUAGUAGUCC